rnacentral:lncRNA from 1 species
CCUGAUGGCUGACUUGUUGCUCCGCCUCACGCUGACCUGUGCUCGCCUUAUGGCUGAACUGUUGCUCCGAGUCCGCCUGACGAGCCACCUGUUUCUCCGGAUCUGUUUCUCCGCCUAACGGCGACCUGUUUCUCCGGACCUGUUUCUCCGGACCUGAUUCUCCGCCUAACGGCGACCUGUUUCUCCGGACCUGUUUCUCCGCCUAACGCCCGAGCUGUUGCUCCACCUAACGCCUGACCUGUGCUCGCCUCACGCCCGACCUGUUGCUCCGCCUCACGGGCAGCCUGUUGAUCGGUGGACGGGUAAGCGCGCAUGGCAUCGGAAGGAGCUCGAAAAGUAUAAGGUGAUGACAGUAAGUAACGUUACUGUGAUUUGUGAUCUUUCUGGGGUGUAAGUAAGUAAUGGAUAAUUGCGUGAAAAUCAAACUAAAAGAAUGCAAUCUUGAGGAGUUAAUCCCCACAUUUGAAGGAGCGAACCUUUUCUCGUUUUUAGGUCAAUUUGAAUACAAUUCAGAGGG